rnacentral:rRNA from 1 species
CUACGGGGGGCACCAGUGGGGAAUAUUGCACAAUGGGCGCAAGCCUGAUGCAGCCAUGCCGCGUGUAUGAAGAAGGCCUUCGGGUUGUAAAGUACUUUCAGCGGGGAGGAAGGGAGUAAAGUUAAUACCUUUGCUCAUUGACGUUACCCGCAGGAGAAGCACCGGCUAACUCCGUGCCAGCAGUCGCGGUAAUACGGAGGGUGCAAGCGUUAAUCGGAAUUACUGGGCGUAAAGCGCACGCAGGCGGUUUGUUAAGUCAGAUGUGAAAUCCCCGGGCUCAACCUGGGAACUGCAUCUGAUACUGGCAAGCUUGAGUCUCGUAGAGGGGGGUAGAAUUCCAGGUGUAGCGGUGAAAUGCGUAGAGAUCUGGAGGAAUACCGGUGGCGAAGGCGGCCCCCUGGACGAAGACUGACGCUCAGGUGCGAAAGCGUGGGGAGCAAACAGGAUUAGAUACCCCCGUAGUC